CAUAUUACACACAUGCGCGUGUGUACCCAGUAGAUGCUAGAAUCAAGUGAGCUAAAGGACCUUUGACGUCAAGGGGAGGAGCUACGACACCAGGGGAGGAGCUACGACACCAGGGGAGAGGAGCUAGGCCAGCGGGAUAUUUCUUCUACUAUCCAUGCCACCUACAACUACCUUUAGAAAGGUGGCGAGCGUACUUUUCGGGUACCCAGUUCGGCCGUGGCUCUUCCCCUGGUGACGUCAGAGGUCCCUUCCCCAACUUGGAUUUAAAACCAACUGUGUGUACCCGGGUGUUGCAGCUGCAGUAGCCAUGGGAUAAUUAUCUUUGGCUGAGGCUGCUUACAAGUUGAAUCACUUUACAAGAUUUGUAGUGUUUGUGGAGGAUGCUUCCACUUCAAAUAGAUUACCUGGGACCACCUGACAUAAUACUUAUGAUAUAUCAAAGAGACCUGUCUAAAGAUAAACAGCACCUGAGAAACAUAAGACUACUAACACUUGUGGAAAUACGUUAUAUGGCCCCGCAGGGAGACUGGGAGUAUUUGAGAGCAGGAAAUUUGACAGCGUCUCCAGCUGCUAUGGCAACGUAUAACAUUGAGCGUCGGAGAAAGCCGGACCAGGUGACCAGUUGUAGUAAUCGGGUUUCCAUGCUGACGGGGGAAGCAUACGGGAACCCGGUACACACGAUCGUGGACUAAUGGGAUGAUUAUGUAUAGCGGUCAGAUGUGCCGAGACCAAUUAGGACUGGAUUGGGGAGAUAUAUACCCUGCAUUUGUACUGUGCGAUAUGCACGCUAAGAGCUGAUCUUCAAAAAGACCCGAGGAGGGCUAGAACGCGUUGGUGCUCGUGAAAUUGACAGCCAAUGUAUGGCGAAUGAUGUGGACUUAGCCGGCGUUUGUGGAGAGGAAUCUGGAUUCAGGAGAAAUCCACAGCUGCAGCCUGGAGGGACUCUUGACACACAUGCUUAUAAGAACUGACUGUGAGCCAGCUCUUUCCGUUAGGCGGUAAUUGACCAUUCAUUCUGCUAUACCUGGAUGUUAUUUUAUUGUGGAUGUCUAUAUAGGUCAUGUUUUAUUGAAUUUUUUUUGUAAUAAAUGUGUAUUUUGUUUCAUACACUAUAACACUAUUUUUGCUAUUUAUCCCCUAUGUUUCCGGUAACAUCUGAUACCGUCACGGUGUGAUAUACACCUGCAUUAUGGUGCCCUAAGAGUGGGGGAUAGUAUAUGGAAUUAAAGACACCAUGUUAUUAA